CUUCAUUGCCAUGCUCCUGUUGCUCCAACAUUGCGCUCAUGGCUUUACGCUGUGGGCAUUCCCUCGCCCAGUGUGGUCCUUGACAUAGGAAGCAACCUUCCCUUGGUUUGACCUCCUUCUUGUUGUCUCUGACCUGUUUCCCUUUGUCUCCAUGGGUUGUUGGCUUGUGGGUUCCGUACUUGGCUCCCCCACCUGUAACCGGC
rnacentral:lncRNA from 1 species